UUGCAUCCGUGUCCUCACAAUGCUCCCUCCUCUUCUCUCACAGGAACCUGCAUGGAGGAGGUGACAUCUAAGUUGGAUUGUGAAGGGUGAGGAGUUUUUCAUGCAGAGGAGAGGAGUGCAAACCUUUCAGUACUGAAGGAUUCAGGACCAUGGCCAGCACCGAAGCAGCCUACAAAUUCUGAAAUAAGCUUAGAGUCUUAGCCAAAGAGAUCAGCACUGCCUUUAGGGAGCUUGGCGUGAGGGGAGAGGGCUGAAUCUGCUGCCUCUGGAUGGAGUGAGAGCUUCUCAAGGUAGAACAAAGGCAGUGAAGGGUGUAGGGAUAUUAUACAGCUGUGCUCCAUGAGCAUGUGUUAAGGCUGUGGAAUGGAUCCUGGCAGGAUGACCUCAAAUUAAGAUUUUAAUGACUCUUCCAUUUAGAAGACACACUCUUUCCAUUAAUGCUGCCUUGUCAGAGUGAACACAUUAUAGAGAAGAGAUUUUGGCACGCCUUUCCCACUAAUGCUUAGCAAAUGCAUCAAAACUUUGCCAGCAAACUGCGUUCAUUCAUAGCAGGGCACUGGUUGUGGCAUUGAGACACAAGGAAAGAAAUGACAAAGAAACACUUAACCUGUGACUUGAUCAACCAGGAUUCGAGAGGUGAUGAUACGGCCAUAUUGCGAGAAAAGCUGCUCCAGUUCCUUCUGGGUCAUGGUUUUGGGAA